AGAGCAGAGGGAAGAGGUUGCACAAGGUGGACGAGAGUUAUAAUCAUUGGGGUCGAGGUCCGCCUGCCAGCCACCUUUGAACGAGCCCACGAAAGCGACGAGUCGCUUGAAGAGAUCGAGGCUCUUCAUAUUUCGCCAAGGGAUAUAAGAGUGCGAAAGAGGGAUCAAGGUGUUGCGACGAGGAUGCAUUUAAUGGCUGGGCGAAACGAUCUUUUGGUAGCAGUUGGCUUGGUUUUAUUCAAGACGGAGGCAAGUUUCUGCUAUUCUUAAUCGAAGCGAUAAAUUAUCACAUAGAAAGUAAGAAC
rnacentral:misc_RNA from 1 species